rnacentral:rRNA from 1 species
GUCUAGAGCCAUACCACCUAGAAUGCCCUGAUCUGGUCUGAUCUUGGAAGCUAAGCAGGGUCGGGCCUGGUUAGUAGUUGGAUGGGAAACUAAGUACAGAUAAAAGCUGAGCUAGGAG